rnacentral:rRNA from 1 species
AUGAAGGGCCGGAUCUGGGGAAUGCGAAACAGAAGAGAACAGAGAGGAAGGUCCAAUCUUGGAGGGGCCUCCGCCCCUCCGCUGCCAUGGAGGCCAUGUACCAGAGGGGGAACCCUCCUCCCAUCUAGGGGGAGGCCAAGGAAGAAAAAGGAGGGGUCUCUCUCCCCCUCUCUCCCGGUGCCGCCGGAACGUCACCGGGGCAAGGAUCGUGACGACGAUCUACAUCAACAAUUUUGCUACCGUCAACACCAACUCUCUCCCUCUCUAUGCAGCGGUGUAACACCCCUUCUCCCCACUGUAAUCUCUACUUAA